rnacentral:rRNA from 1 species
GGAAAACUUAUCAGGUCCAGACAUAGUGAGGAUUGACAGAUUGAUAGCUCUUUCUUGAUUCUGUAGGUGGUGGUGCAUGGCCGUUCUUAGUUGGUGGAGUGAUUUGUCUGCUUAAUUGCGCUAACGAACGAGACCUUUACCUGCUAAAUAGUUGGUGCUUGCUUUGGCAAGCUCCCGCUUCUUAGAGGGACUUUGCGUGUUUAACGCAAGGAAGUUAGAGGCAAUAA